rnacentral:lncRNA from 1 species
AAGAUGGUAUCAGAGCAUAAAGUAGAGAAUGGGAAUGGUUUAGGCAGACCUAGGAGACCCUAGGAUAGUAAAACCAUAGGAGAAUAAGGCUCGUGAGAGACGAGGACUUGUGAUUGUGGCGAAAGGUUAAUGGAUUGGGUCGUGUCGGAACCUCUAAGACGGAUAUUAGAGGUAGACUCAAGGUAUUGUUUGUUCUCGAUCGAGGGUGUUCAUGUUGGGCGCGCACGACAUGAAGCCGAGUGACGAAAAUAGACGUCCUUGCGAAGCCGAGUGACGAAAAUAGACGUCCUUGCGUGACUUUCGCCUGAUUGGCUUUUGAGCCGGUGUGUAACACACUGGACCUCUGCAAAUUGCGAGGUUCGAGUGCUUUGAUGUAUUUCGAGCUUUU